AUUGAACGCUGGCGGAAUGCUUUACACAUGCAAGUCGAGCGGCAGCACGGGGGCAACCCUGGUGGCGAGCGGCGAACGGGUGAGUAAUACAUCGGAACAUGCCCAGUCGUGGGGGAUAACACUUCGAAAGAAGUGCUAAUACCGCAUACGUCCUGAGGGGGAAAGCGGGGGAUCGCAAGACCUCGCGCGAUUGGAGUGGCCGAUGUCAGAUUAGCUAGUUGGUGGGGUAAAGGCCUACCAAGGCAACGAUCUGUAGCUGGUCUGAGAGGAUGAUCAGCCACACUGGGACUGAGACACGGCCCAGACUCCUACGGGAGGCAGCAGUGGGGAAUUUUGGACAAUGGGGGCAACCCUGAUCCAGCCAUUCCGCGUGAGUGAAGAAGGCCUUCGGGUUGUAAAGCUCUUUCGGCAGGAACGAAACGGUGAGCUCUAACAUAGCUUGCUAAUGACGGUACCUGAAGAAGAAGCACCGGCUGACUACGUG
rnacentral:rRNA from 1 species